CCGAAGUUACUCUUCAUACCCAUUUGUGAACACUACCCCAUUGCCGCGUGUUGCCUCGGCGGUGAGGUCCGCGGGGGGGGGCUGCGCUCCGGCGCUCCCCCCUCCCGGGCCCCCGCCGGCCGCGCCUUACUCUUAAUUUGCAGAGCGGACUGUACGAUCUGAUUAAUCUUGAUAAACAAGUCA
rnacentral:misc_RNA from 1 species